UCCAGGGUAGCCUAGUGGACAUGGCAUCUGCCCGGUAAGCGGAACACUGUGGGUUCGAUUCCCAUUCUUGGAC
rnacentral:tRNA from 1 species